rnacentral:rRNA from 1 species
UACGUAGGCAGCGAGCGUUGUUCGGAGUUACUGGGCGUAAAGAGUGCGUAGGCGGUGCUCCAAGUCUGGUGUGAAAUCUCCCGGCUUAACCGGGAGGGUGCGCCGGAAACUGGGGUGCUGGAGUGUGGGAGAGGUAAGCGGAAUUCCCGGUGUAGCGGUGAAAUGCGUAGAUAUCAGGAGGAACACCGGUGGUGUAGACGGCUCACUGGACCAUAACUGACGCUGAGACACGAAAAGCGUGGGUAGCAAACAGG